GACGAACGCUGGCGGCGUGCUUAACACAUGCAAGUCGAGCGGUAAGGCCCUUUCGGGGUACGACGAGCGGCGAACGGGUGAGUAACACGUGGGUGACCUGCCCUCCAGCUCUGGGAUAAGCCUGGGAAACCGGGGUACUAAUACUGGAUAUGACUCCAUGACGCAUGUUGUGGGGUGGAAAGCCUUGUGCGGCUGAGGAUGGGCCCGCGGCCUAUCAGCUUGUUGGUGGGGGUGAGGCCUACCAAGGCGGCGACGGGUAGGCCGGCCUGAGAGGGCGACCGGCCACACUGGGA
rnacentral:rRNA from 1 species